UACAGAGGGGGCAAGCGUUGUUCGGAAUUACUGGGCGUAAAGGGCGCGUAGGUGGCCUUCUAAGUCGAACGUGAAAUCCCUGGGCUCAACCCAGGAACUGCGUCCGAGACUGGGAGGCUUGAAUCCGGGAGAGGGAUGCGGAAUUCCAGGUGUAGCGGUGAAAUGCGUAGAUAUCUGGAGGAACACCGGUGGCGAAGGCGACAUCCUGGACCGGUAUUGACGCUGAGGAGCGAAAGCGUGGGGAGCAAACAGG
rnacentral:rRNA from 1 species